rnacentral:tRNA from 1 species
ACUUAAAUAGUUUAAUGAAAAUAUUGAUUUGUGAUAUCAAAGAUAUAAUUUAGUUAUUUUAGGUA